rnacentral:misc_RNA from 1 species
AGGGAAUCAUGUAUAUGGUCAAAAUAUAAGAAGAAAAAUUAUUUUUCCUCUAAAUUUACUGUUCUCAACAAAGGUCAUAUCCAAUCUUUAUAAUAAAUGAAAACUUUCCCUUAAAGCUAGAGCUAGAACAGAAAAGCAACCUCUUUUAACAAUGCUAAAGUUCCUCAUUGUUAGUUUCUAGAGAAAUGUAAAUCCCAAAUUCCCAGUUCACUAAUUGCCAUCUAAGAAACACAAUAAUUUUACUUCCACAAAAUUUGCAGUGCUCUAACAUGCCAACCUAAAGUCACUGAGCCCAUCAAACCAUGUCAUGACAAAUUAAUGCAGCAAAAAUUUCAUUGCAAUGUGACCAUGCUUCUGCUGAAAAGAGAAGGUGAAAAUAGUUCCAAAGCAUCAUUUUUGGCUGAAAAUUGACUUCUGAAAAUAAGUUCACCAGAAAAUGGAUAUCGAUAACCAUCAUUGUGAAGCAAAAAUGCACAUCCCAAUUAAAAUGCUAAUGACAGUGGAUGUGAAAAUAAUUUCAGGGCAUGUCAACGGCUGAAACCCAAGUUCUGCAAAUAAUUAACAGAAAAAAGAAAAUAGAUGAACACUCCACUUAAAAGAACAUUAUGUUCAAAAUACACCAUGAAUCUCCUUGGCCACAUUGAUAAACAAGGAAUCAACUUCUCUAUUCAAGAGUAGAGACUUUCACUGAGAAAAAAGAACCCACAAAGACUUGAAAGUCCUAUAAAACAUUGCCUAUUGGUAAAUCACCUGGCUCUGCUGAAG